rnacentral:rRNA from 1 species
GUUGACCUCGGAUCAGGUAGGAAUACCCGCUGAACUAUCCUUUUUUCUCCCCUU